GUAGAUGACAAACUGAUGAUAAGACAACAUUUUCAGCCCUAUAAUAUUAUUGUAGGUGCUGGAGGUAUAGUGGUAGACAGACCAGAUAGAGACUCACUGCAAUGUAAAGAAAGUGAACAGGAAUCUAAGAUGGAAAAAAUACAGUGGUUGGUGGGCCUUUUAAAGCAAAUUUGCCAUAUUAUUCUCAAGAGAGUUAUGAUUUUAAAAUGUACUGCAAAUACAUGGAGAAAAAUCUUCUUUAUUUCUAUUCAGUAUUCAGCACAAACCCGGUUUAAAGUUUGGCAGCAAAUUGAAUUUUAGAAACAAUGAGUUUCAGCCCUGUGCAUUAUGGGAAGUACAGCCCACUUGCUGAGUCCUCUGUUCUAAAGGGGAAUGCUAUGCACUUUGUAUGGCAGACCAGAGGCUCUUCAUUUCCGUGCAGAAAGUAGGUUUCGUAUCACAGGAAGCUCCUGCUUUUCUUUUUCUCCAAUGCUCCUUAGGUUUGUGCUCAGAAUGGAAGGGCCUCCCCUGCGCCGCGCCGCCCCUCUUUCCCACGGCCCCAGAAUCUGUGUCCUUUACUUCCUGGCAGUCAUCAGCUGCUGGGUUUUCCUUCUCGUCUUUUCUGAAAGCAGGAAACGCAGAGGAGGUGCCUUGGAGACUGAAGGCAGCUUGCGCAGUGGUCUGACCUCUGCUCCACCCCACUUGGCUCUCUGCCAAGGGCAGUGGGGCAGCCAUGUGACCAAACCUGAUCUUCAGAGGCAGGAGAAUCUCCCUGCCCCCACCCUGGCUACACUAGUACCCAGCUGCUGGAGUCAGUUUUGUUCCCUUAAAGAGCCUGUUCUGAAAUGAUUCCUCCUGCAAUUUCCAGUUGAACUGAUUACUUAGUCACAGCUUAUCCACAUGGUGGGUUCUGCAAUCAAUGGAAGCAUAGAAGGUAGGAGCCAAAUUGCCUGCUGGUGGAUAAAUGAUGGGCUGAAUAUGACAGGUCCAGGCCAAUCACAAAAUAAUGGGGCAAGUGUCUGGAAUACAGUAAUACAGAGCCUGGUCCCUAGUAGAAGCCGAAAUGUUUUUGAUGAAGGGUUGAUGAUACACAGGAAGAGCUUUAUUAGCUGGAAUGCUGGACUUUCUGUUCUGCUUUGAUUAUCACGAUCCUUCCUGUGAAGGUCAUUGCUAUUCACCAGCUAUUUCUGGCUCUCUGACUUUGGGUAUGUGGUAGGCUUGUACUCCCUGCUCUCUUGCGGUUAGGUGGGGCCAGGUGACUAGUUCUGCCAAAUGUGUUGUCAUUGGAGGGACAUCUGUCCCUUUGGGCAAGAUCAUAUAUCUGCCAGAAGAAGACCCUCCAGACCCACCUUUUCUCUGACAUGAUGAUCAGCAGUGUUUGAGAUGGUGACAGCUCCAUUGGUCUAGAAUUAGUGUCUGCAAUGGGCAGAGGCUUAUGCCAACCUAUAAUAGACAUGUUAGCAGAGCAAAAUAAAACUUUAUUAAUAGCCACUAACCCACUAAGUUAUUUGGAGGUUUUUUUUUGUUUUGUUUUGUUUUUUAAACUGCAGUAUAGUGUGGAUAGUGACUGCAGCCAUGAAUUUAGAAGGUGGUUGCUUCUUGGCAGGAAAGCUAAGACAAACCUAGACAGUGUUCUAAAAAGCAAAGACAUCACUUUGCAGACAAAGGUUCAUAUAGUCAAGGCUACAGUCUUUCCAAUAGUCAUGUAUGGAAGAAGGCUGAGUGCUGAAAAACUGACGCUUUUUAACUGUGAUGCUGGAGAAGACGAUUGAGAGUCACUUGGACAGCAAGGAGAUCAAACCAGUCAAUCUUACAUGAAAUCAAUGCUUGAAUAUUCAUUGGAAGAACUGAUGCUGAGGCUGAAGCUACACUACUUUGGCCACCUGAUGUGAAGAGCCAACUCAUUGGAAAAUACCCUGAUGCUGGAAAGGAUUGAAGGCAGAAGGAGAAGAGGGAGACAGAGGAUGACAUGGUUGGAUGGCAUCACUGAUUCAAUGGACAUGAACUCCAGGGGACGGUGAGGGACAGGAAAGCCUGGGAUGCUGCUGUAGUUCAUGGGUGGAAAAGAGUUGGACACAACUUGGCAACUGAAGAACAACAUAACCUAACCAAGUCUGACUAAAAUAUUCACUAAAUACUAAUAAAUACAAAGUUAAGAUUAUUUUUUAAAUCUCAUUUCAGUGAUUUGAGCCAUCAAUUUAAAAAUAGUACAGAUGAACCUAUUUUCAGGGCAGAAAUAGACAUAGAUGUAGAGAACUGACAUGUGGAAUGGGGUAGGAGGGGAAGAGGAAGGAUGAGCUGGGAGAUUAGGAUGGACAUAUAUACUACCUUGUGUAAAAUAGACAGACAGCUAAUGGGAACUUGAUAUAAAGCACAGGAAGCUCAGUUCGGUGCUCUGUGAUGGCC
rnacentral:lncRNA from 1 species